rnacentral:rRNA from 1 species
GACGAACGCUGGCGGCGUGCUUAACACAUGCAAGUCGAACGGAAAGGCCCUGCUUUUGUGGGGUGCUCGAGUGGCGAACGGGUGAGUAACACGUGAGUAACCUGCCCUGGACUUUGGGAUAACUUCAGGAAACUGGGGCUAAUACCGGAUAGGAGCUCCUGCUGCAUGGUGGGGGUUGGAAAGUUUCGGCGGUUGGGGAUGGACUCGCGGGUUAUCAGCUUGUUGGUGGGGUAGUUGCUUACCAAGGCUUUGACGGGUAGCCGGCCUGAGAGGGUGACCGGCCACAUUGGGACUGAGAUACGGCCCAGAGUCCUACGGGAGGCAGCAGUGGGGAAUAUUGCACAAUGGGCGGAAGCCUGAUGCAGCAACGCCGCGUGCGGGAUGACGGCCUUCGGGUUGUAAACCGCUUUCGCCUGUGACGAAGCGUGAGUGACGGUAAUGGGUAAAGAAGCACCGGCUAACUACGUG